UACGUAGGGGGCAAGCGUUGUCCGGAUUUAUUGGGCGUAAAGAGCGUGUAGGCGGUUUGGUAGGUCCGCUGUGAAAACUCGAGGCUCAACCUCGAGACGCCGGUGGAAACCAUCAGGCUAGAGUCCGGAAGAGGAGAGUGGAAUUCCUGGUGUAGCGGUGAAAUGCGUAGAUAUCUGGAGGAACACCGGUGGCGAAGGCGGCAUCCUGGACCGGCAUUGACGCUGAGGCGCGAAAGCCAGGGGAGCAAACAGG
rnacentral:rRNA from 1 species